rnacentral:rRNA from 1 species
CCUACGGGGGGCAGCAGUGAGGAAUAUUGGUCAAUGGACGAGAGUCUGAACCAGCCAAGUAGCGUGAAGGAUGACUGCCCUAUGGGUUGUAAACUUCUUUUAUAUGGGAAUAAAAUGUUCCACGUGUGUGCUUUUGUAUGUACCAUAUGAAUAAGGAUCGGCUAACUCCGUGCCAGCAGCCGCGGUAAUACGGAGGAUCCGAGCGUUAUCCGGAUUUAUUGGGUUUAAAGGGAGCGUAGGUGGAUUGUUAAGUCAGUUGUGAAAGUUUGCGGCUCAACCGUAAAAUGGCAGUUGAAACUGGCAGUCUUGAGUACAGGAGAGGUGGGCGGAAUUCGUGGUGUAGCGGUGAAAUGCUUAGAUAUCACGAAGAACUCCGAUGGCGAAGGCAGCUCACUGGACUGCAACUGACACUGAGGCUCGAAAGUGUGGGUAUCAAACAGGAUUAGAUACCCGUGUAGUC